ensembl:lncRNA
CAGGGGGUGGACGCGCUCCUCAGCAGAGGGUGGACGCGCUCCUCAGCAGGGGGUGGACGCGCUCCUCAGCAGGGGGGGUGGACGCGCUCCUCAGCAGGGGGUGGACGCGCUCCUCAGCAGAGGGUGGACGUGCUCCUCAGCAGAGAGUGGACGUGCUCCUCAGCAGAGAGUGGAUGUGCUCCUCAGCAGGGAGUGGACGCGCUCCUCAGCAGAGGGUGGACGCGCUCCUCAGCAGAGAGUGGAUGUGCUCCUCAGCAGAGAGUGGAUGUGCUCCUCAGCAGGGAAGGGCCCUCCCUAGAAAUGCCCUCAGAGAGUUUUCAGAGUCUUGUUUCUUGGUUGAAUCCAGAUCCAAUUAACCUGACACCCCAGAUUAACCAGUGACAGAACACACUGUGGAGUGUGCGCUGUUUGCCCUUGGGAAUGGAGGCCUGCUGGGAGCCGCGGUUCAUGGCCACUGCCCAGCGUCACCAUCAGGUCCCAGACUCCGCACCACUGGUGUGGGAAAGAGCCAGCCUGAAAGCCAUUUCUACUCCACGUGCACACUGUUAAUGCAACACUGUAAAGUAAAAGCAGUGACUCCAAGCUGAACCACCGUAAGUGGCAGCCAUGGGUUCCAGCACUACUUCUCGUAGAGAGCCGCCACCACUUAGUCACUUUGCUAUCCAAUGGCACCAAGGGCCCCAAGCUGAUGCGCUAGCAACAGUUCAAUAAGCAGUUCUCAUAAAGAAGAUAUGAUGUCAUGUAACCAUUACUCUUUCCGCCAGCUGCCUGGGUUCCGCCACCACUUUAGGGUCCUCAAAUAACACACAGAGUCUUAUAUUAGUUACAAUGCUGCUGGCCAAUGACUAGGAUUUAUUUUGCUAGCUCAGUCUUCAUUAUCAACCAUAACUACUAAUCUAUAUGUUUUUGUAAGGACUUAUCUUACCGAGGACGCCAGCCGCAUGUGUCCUCUCUUCCUGGGAUCACAUGGCGACU